GUGGGGAAUAUUGGACAAUGGGCGCAAGCCUGAUCCAGCAAUGCCGCGUGGGUGAAGACGGCCUGCGGGUUGUAAAGCCCUUUAGGCGGGGAGGAACGGCGUCGUGCGAACAGUGCGGCGUUCUGACGUUACCCGCGGAAUAAGCACCGGCUAACUCCGUGCCAGCAGCCGCGGUAAUACGGAGGGUGCGAGCGUUAAUCGGAAUUACUGGGCGUAAAGCGUGCGUAGGCGGUUUGGUCAGUCAGCCGUGAAAGCCCCGGGCUUAACCUGGGAAUGGCGGUUGAGACGGCUGGACUUGAGUGGGCUAGAGGAUCGUGGAAUUCCGGGUGUAGCGGUGAAAUGCGUAGAGAUCCGGAGGAACACCGAUGGCGAAGGCAGCGGUCUGGGGCCACACUGACGCUGAGGCACGACAGCGUGGGGAGCAAACAGGAUUAGAUACCCGGGUAGUCC
rnacentral:rRNA from 1 species